rnacentral:rRNA from 1 species
GAUGAACGCUGGCGGCGUGCCUAAUACAUGCAAGUCGAGCGAACAGACGAGGAGCUUGCUCCUCUGACGUUAGCGGCGGACGGGUGAGUAACACGUGGAUAACCUACCUAUAAGACUGGGAUAACUUCGAGAAACCGGAGCUAAUACCGGAUAAUAUAUUGAACCGCAUGGUUCAAUAGUGAAUGACGGUUUUGCUGUCACUUAUAGAUGGAUCCGCGCCGCAUUAGCUAGUUGGUAAGGUAACGGCCUACCAAGGCAACGAUGCGUAGCCGACCUGAGAGGGUGAUCGGCCACACUGGAACUGAGACACGGUCCAGACUCCUACGGGAGGCAGCAGUAGGGAAUCUUCCGCAAUGGGCGAAAGCCUGACGGAGCAACGCCGCGUGAGUGAUGAAGGUCUUCGGAUCGUAAAGCUCUGUUAUUAGGGAAGAACAAAUGUGUAAGUAACUAUGGCCGUCUUGACGGUACCUAAUCAGAAAGCCACGGCUAACUACGUG